CAGCACUUUCAAUUACACAUGCAUACUAACAAGGCAAAGUAGAUGUUGAUUAUAAGGUCAACUGAAGAUUCAAUUAUCAUUUAAAAUUGAUGAUUGAUAUACACUCCAAUUAAAAAAAUUUGAAUUUGAAGAAAGAGCUAUCUGUCUAAAAUAAAAAUAUAAAAAAUAGAGUAUAUAUGGAUUGUCCUAAACUUAGUAACUGGGUCUCUGCACCUAAGUCAAGUAUGAAGGUUCACAUCAAAAGAUAGAGAGAAGGUCAGGAUGCUUAGUACUAAAAGAAAAA
rnacentral:lncRNA from 1 species